GGGAAUGUGGCUCACUGGUGAGUGCUUGCCUUGCAUGCAUGAGGCCCUGGGUUCAAUUCCUCAGUACCA
rfam:Dipodomys ordii contig_8913, whole genome shotgun sequence.